GGCGGCGUGCUUAACACAUGCAAGUCGAACGCGCAGCAUUCUGUAGCAAUACAGGGUGUGGGCGCGUGGCGAACGGGUGCGUAACACGUGGAUAACCUUCCUUCAGGUGGGGAAUAACCCAGUGAAAAUUGGGCUAAUACCGCAUAACAUGACGAUGCCACAUGGUGUUGUCUUCAAAGCCGCAAGGCGCCAGAAGAGGGAUCCGCGGCCGAUUAGCUUGUUGGCGAGGUAAUGGCUCACCAAGGCUUNGAUCGGUAGCCGGACUGAGAGGUUGGCCGGCCACACUGGAACUGAGACACGGUCCAGACUCCUACGGGAGGCAGCAGUGGGGAAUCUUGCACAAUGGACGAAAGUCUGAUGCAGCAACGCCGCGUGGGGGAUGAAGCUUUUCGGAGUGUAAACCCCUUUCGACCCGGAAGAAUGCCCGCAAGGGUUUGACGGUACGGGUAUAAGAAGCCCCGGCUAACUACGUGCCAGCAGCCGCGGUAAUACGUAGGGGGCCAGCGUUGCUCGGAAUUACUGGGCGUAAAGGGUCCGUA
rnacentral:rRNA from 1 species